rnacentral:ribozyme from 14 species
AGAAGUAAACUUAUACGGGAUACGAUAUCACAUAUACGAUAUUCUUUUUCUUCCUUAUCUUCAUCACUCUCCUCUUCUUCUUCUUCCUUUUCUCCUUUUUCCUGCGAUUUCUUUCCAUCACAACGUUGUAACGUCUGUAACGCAGCAU